CAUUUGGAUGCAAAUCUCCAAGAGUUGAGCAGUGAGCUGACGUCAGGCAGGCCUUACUAUACCUUUACCAUCUUGUCAACAGAGCCACAUCAUGUGAGAUUGGGGGCGAACUGGAACUACGUCGCAUUUUUCUUGGGGAACCUCUCUGGACUACAACAAAAAAAGAACAGGAUUGUUUUUGAACUGUUUCAGGGCAACAAUGUCGCCUUAAAACAGGCCACAUCAUCCCCUCCGCUGUUUUCUCUAUAUUUAAUUGUUUUUGUACAAAUCAUGUAUGUGGGAUACCUACUGGAUAAAGAAAGCGGCAUGUAUCACCAAGGGCCAGUGAGAAGAUCGAGCAUCAAUCUGCCUCCGCAGAACUUUGUUUCCACGCCACAGUACCCCGACUUUACUGGAUACCAUCAUGUGCCAAACAUGGAUACGCACGCACAGUCUUCGGGGAGUUGGGGACCUACAUAUGGCGCCCCAAGAGAGGACUGGGGUGCAUACAGCCUGGGACCCCCUAAUACAAUUCCUACACCCAUGAACAACUCGUCUCCUGCACAGGUUCCCUACUGCUCAUCUGAGUACAGUCAUAUGCAUCCUCCAGGGUCUGCGGUGUUACAGCCGCCGCCGGAGAACGUUACUGUUGCACAACUUUCUCCCGAUAGAGAAAGACGCAAUUCGUACCAGUGGAUGAGUAAAACUGCGCAAUCAUCUUCCACAGGUAAAACAAGAACGAAGGAGAAAUACAGGGUAGUGUACACAGACCACCAGCGACUGGAGCUGGAGAAGGAGUUUCAUUUCAACAGAUACAUCACCAUCAGGAGGAAAUCUGAACUGGCUGUCAACCUCGGUCUGUCGGAAAGACAGGUGAAAAUCUGGUUUCAGAACCGCAGAGCCAAGGAGAGGAAGCUGAUUAAGAAGAAGUUGGGUCAGUCCGACGGCAGCGGGGGGUCGGUGCACAGUGACCCGGGUUCAGUGAGCCCGCUGCCCGUGCCGGGGUCCCUCAGUCCCACGGACAUCCACGGCUCUCUGUACCCUCCUCAGAUGAACACCUUGCCAUCGAUCAGGAAUAUACAGCAAGUGACUGUGACUCAGUAAAGCAGUUCGCCCUCUGGACCACGUACCAUAACUGAGCACUCCGACACGCUGACAGGACACUUGACAGGCAGCCAGAGGAUCUGAACUCACGUCCUGAAGCACAAAGCUGUGGAUGAACAUUUGAUUUAUAGCAACGAAAUGCUGGAGGCUCUUGAAAUAUUGCUUUUUUUUAUAUAUAGAAUAGUUCUAAUAAUGUGGGGAAAUUUAAACAAAAAAAAACAAAAACGAAAAAACAACGACGUGUUUCAAACUUAAAAGCUUUUAAAUUGUUUGUGAGUUAUUAAAAAUAUAAAUAUCAUUUCUUUUUGUAUGUGACGAGCUGUACGUGUUUGUGAAUAUUAAAAAAAAGAGAAUUCAGGGACCUUUCAAAGGAAGUUUAAAAACUGGAUUGUAUGUCACACUGGACUGCUUUUGACUUGACAAAUCAUUUUUCAGCACAGUUGUAUCCACUGAAGUGAAGCAGGGAGGAGCAGGUGAACGAGUGGAGCGGUCGUUUGAUGGACAAUUUCAAAAUGUAAAUAAAACGCUUUUUUUGCAGUGGGCCUACACCUGUCUUUUUUCCCUUAUUGUUGACUCUUGUUUUGAGCUAUGCAAAGUCUGGGUCACAUUUGCUUGAUGUUUUACAUUUAAAAUGCUUCUUGUAGCCCGACACCGAUAUGCACUGUUGUGACGAGAUUAAUGGUCAUAGCUUUAGUGCCUUUUGAGGUGAUUAUUUGAGGCACCAUAAUAAUACAUUUCCAUAAGGUGGUUGUUCCGAUGCAUAUUCCAAAUAAUAUACCCUGAAAAAUCAUCAAACUGUAAAUAACUUUAACCUUAAAAACCUGAAAUGCCAAAUGUCAAGCACCCAAAUAGGUCUGCUGAUCAAUGCAAUGCAUCUAUCUUUCUUUUAUUGGAAUUAUAGACAUUUUUUUACGCAGCUCCGACAGGAAUCACAUUGGCUUAUACAUAAACAAGGCAAUUACUUUGCAUCGCACUCUGUGGUCUGUGCACGUGGUUUGUUGUCAGUUCUCUCUGAAGUGUGCAUGGUCCAUGGAUGAAAUAUGGGAUUUCUUUUAUAUUCAACACGUCAAACACAACACCGUUUCUUCAUCAGCUGCACCAUCUGUGUUAUUGUAUCGUAGCUACAUUAGACACACUACAAUCAUUUGAAGGUGCCUAUUGAAUACUUCCACAGCACAAGUAGUAGUCUGUGUGGUGUUUCAUUUUAACUGGUCAGGUGGCUACUUUAGGACGUCUCCUUACUUUGACCGAGUAUACUCUCAACGAUGUAUCCCAAACGCCGGGUGCAGCAUUUGUAAUACUAAUAAAAAUUAUGAUAUCACGUGAAAGGUUAAUCUGCCCUCCCUCUGCUUGCUUCUCAUAAUGAAGGACGUUGAUGAUAUUGUUGAUGAUAUUUGGCUCUGAACGCACAGGGGCGAUGGUGGUCCCUCUGCCCCACGAGCUCCGCGCUCUGCUCCGCGCUCCCGCCGCUUCCAGCGUCCGUCCGUGCGCGCGCCCGCUCGCAGACGUCAUGAGCGUCUUACUGCCCAACAUGGCGGACUUCGAUACCAUUUAUGAGUUGGAAGACGAAGAGGACGAGCGCGUCGUGAACGAGGAGCUGCUGCCCAGACACUGUCCGGAGCCCGUGGUCAUGCGAGGGGCCGGGCACAUCACAGUGUAAGCGGAGCCGCGCUUUGUCGCUCGCGUCCGUCCCGCGCGGCGCUUUGUUGUCCCGUAGCGUGGCUAGCACCCGCUAGCAUGCGAGCUAACGCAAAUCACAACAACUGACGGUGAACGGGCCAUACGCUGAGUGUGACACGGGGACGGACGGGUUGCCCUCGAACGCAGCGUCGGUUUGGACUGAGCAACAGAUUUGACACGGAAUUUCCCUCUGUUCUCACGGGAAAGCCCCAACUUCCCCAAACCGUCCCAUUCAAACCUCUCCGAGUGGGUUUUGAUCUGAUGGAGAUGCAUUUCAAGUAACGAAGAAAGGAGCCUGAAUGUGCUGCUGUCCGGCUCUGUAAAUGAGUAAGCCGUCUAUGGGCCUCAGUUGACGGCGACCCCAGUGUUGUGAAGCGUCCGACUCCAGGUGAUAAAAUAAUGAAAUGGAGACUCUCCCGGAAAGCUUCCUGGGUCAGACACAGAGACACAAAAAGGCUGCAGGGGUAAGAGCAGGCUGAGGGAAGUGUGGGCCAAUAAAAAGUACCUUCGUAUUGUGACCCAGGGUGACGUGAUGGAUGAGGUCACAAUUAUGAUGAUUGAAGGCUGCAGAUCAGGCCCUGCUGGGCUUUAUUCCGAGGUCCUCGGCUGUUUGCAAAGAGACCUUUGCAUCCUGUCAUAAAAGAUUACGACCCCGGUUUUAUGGCGUACAGACUCAGAGAGGAAUGAGCAUCCAUUCAAGUUGUUUGGCCGGCGCUGCCACAGGCACUGGGCUUAUCUCUCCUUUGAAUCCCUCCUUGCCUUGAACAGACUAGAGCUCAGUUAGCGAGUCAGACCCAUUGCAUUCAGAGAUCUCAUCUCAUCUCGGGACAACAUCUGCAACUAUCUACCUGUUGGUUUUCUGAAGCUCUUUGAUCUUUGUGCACAGGUUUCUUUGGAGCAAUUAGGAACCUUUUCUUGUCAGCGCCAUCACCAACAACAUUUGAAUUGUCUUACUCCCUGUUGUAUUAAGAUAUUUGCUUCAUGCACACAUUUUAUGAUUAAAAGAGUGUACACACUGGGCAUCCAUCAUUUCUUUUUUUUC